AAAUUAAAGAGCUAGGGAUACUGAAGUUUUUAGUCUUAAAAAUGUUUCAAAAUAGCUAUGAAGACGUAAAGGAUAAUAGAAAAUAUAAACAUCCUUUGAAAAUUGUUAUUACUGGAAAGAUAAAAAAGGGUAUAUCAUAAGUAACAGUAGUAGUAUACAGUAGUAUUGUGCAGUAGUAUCAUUUAGUAGUAUCAUUUAGUAGUAUCAUUUAGUAGUAUCAUUUAGUAGUAUCAUUUAGUAGUAUCAUUCAGUAGUAGCAUUAGUAAUAUAUCGCGAUAUCACUGUGAUAUGUUCGACAUGUGUGUGGUCUCAUAUAUAUAUAUAUAUAUAUAUAUAUAUAUUUAGUAGUAUGUGGUAAGUAUAAACUUAUAAAGAAGGAGAAAAUAAAAAAAAAUAAAAAAAAAAUUUGUUUGAACUAGACAACUAUAAGUACUUUAUUUUAUUUUUGUAUAGAAACUGAACUUAUAGCUAAGUAUUUAAAAAAAAGGUUUUGUUUAAAGUUAUAUAAUUUUAAUAAUAUACGAAAAGAGCUCCAAGUUAUGUUCAGCAAACAUGACGCCAAAGAUGGAGAAGUGGAUGCAAAAUAUAAACAUAAAAAAAAAAAAACAUUGAAUAAAUUGCAAAAUAUAUACAAAAAAAUAAAUGAACAAAAAGAAGCUAUUGAUAAGAAUAGAGAUGCUCUUUAUGUUGAUUUAUUAUACUAUCGUAUAAAAUAUGAUUAUGAUUUAUUUUAUACUAAUGCAACUAGUAAAGAACAGCACAAUGAAAAAAAAAAAAAAGCAAUUUUUGUAGAAAAGAGUAAUGAAAAAAAAAAUUGUAACUUAAAAAGAAAAAAAAGAACCCAAUACAAAGGGUAUAUUAUUAUUAAUUUUUUUUUUUCACUUAAACAGUAUAUAUUAUUUGUGUUAAAAACGAAAAAAAAAUUUAUGUUAAAUGAUAUUGUUUAUUACUAUGGCAGUAUUUUACACAGUGCAAGAUAUAGUGGUGUCAAAAAAAAAUAUAGUUCAUCAUAUGCUAUAGAUAAAAAUGACAAUAAUGAAGUAUAUAUAAAUAUUGCAAAAGAUCAAAUAUCAUGUCAUAACAAUGAUAUAUCAGAACAAAAAGAGGAAAAAAAAAAAAAUUUGAAAAAUAAAAACAAAAAAGAAAAAAUAGCAAAAAUAGCAAAAAUAGAAGAAAUAGCAAAAAUAGAAGAAAUAGCAAAANNNNNNNNNNGAAAUAGCAAAAAUAGAAGAAAUAGCAAAAAUAGAAGAAAUAGCAAACAUAGAAGAAAUAGAAAAAUAUCGUAACAAAAAUGACACAUGUGGAAACAGUAGCGAAUUAGGAUUAAUAAAAACUAUAGAUGAAAAUAAUAAAGGAAGACG
rnacentral:lncRNA from 1 species